UUUUAAAAACAUUUUUUAUAACAAUAAAUUCUUGUGGUUCUCUGUACUUGUAUGUGAAUCGUACAUUAUGGAAGUUUUCCUAUGAUCACAAAAAAAAGAUACUCUGACCUAAAGUAUUUUAAAUCCACACUGCAGAAUGGAAUUCAAGAUUGCACUUACUGCCUUGGUUAUCUUUACCUUUGUUUUGCGUAAGGGCGCAAAAGCUAAUCUAGAAUGUUACUAUUGCAAUGGAAAAUGUGCCGAUCCUAUAGAGACAAGAACAUGCAGCUUCGAGUCAGAGAAAUGUGUGACACGAACAUAUUUUAGAAAAGGUUCCAGAUGGGAAACGAAAGAUUGCAUGGAAGAUUCUGAAGUUCAUGAGUUUAUGGAAAUAUGUGACGACCUAAGUGAACUAGGAGACGCCCACUGUAGAGUGUGUGAUUCAGAUUUGUGUAAUUCGGCAGAAAUGUACAUUUUCUCUUUAAUUUUAUUAUGCGCAACGACAAUAAUUCUUUGCAAAAUUAUGUAGUUUAUUCUAGCAUUCCGGAAUGUACAAGUUUUUGUUUAGUAGAGUCUGAAAAUAAAACAAC